rfam:TPA: Bos taurus chromosome 24, whole genome shotgun sequence.
UCCCUGGUGGCUCAGACGGUAAAGCGUCUGCUUGCAAUGCAGGAGACCCGGGUUCGACCCCUGAGUUGGGAA